UCCCGACGCCCCCGAGAGAUGUGGGCGCCCGGCUUCGCCCUCAGAGGGGCAGGGGAAGCGGGGUGAGGAGCUGCACAGGCCUGGGUCCUUCUUGAGAACCAGCAGCCCCGUCGGGUCGUCAGGUGGAGGGACGUUGAAAAAGAGGAUCACGGGGUGACCAGGCCCCGCUCUUCCUCCAGCACUGUGCUGCCGUCCACUCAGCAGUGGAGAGCGAGACCCUUCCCCACACCACAGGGGAGGGAAGAAAGCUGCUGUUUCCGAACCCUACAACACGCGUGAGGGAAAUAAGUGCCUCUUUCUCCCGGGAGGAAAACGCCCUCAUUUUAUCUCCGGGAGCUUCACAUCUCCCAGCUGGUAGUCAUCCCUGUUUUCCCAUCAGACGGCGACAGCCCACGGAGGCUGCGCAGGAUGAGUGGACCCAACGGGCGCCUGUGAAGGGCUCUGAGCCCACAGCCUGGGGACAGCAGAGGGGACCAGAGCAGCCCGCACAGAAUCGCAGGGGACCUGGCAGCUCCCUCCCAGGGAGUCCUGCUGCUCAUUUGGAUUUUGCCAAAGUUGAGAGCAAAAAGAGUGGCACCGUUGGCUACUUUUUUGGUUUUGUUUUCGGAAGCACACCUUACAGGACAGCCGACAGAGGGGGGACAUUGCUAUUCAAGUAGAGUUCACCAGAUUCCCUUCCCGAGAGAUGGUGCGUGUUCCUAACGGGCGGAAAAGUGGGAGUGCUGAGGAGCCCUGAGGACGGGGCGGGCCUCUUCUCCCUCCGCCGUGACUCCUGAGGGUCCGUACACCUGUGGGCCUGCGUUCAGGGCGGAAAUCCACUUCCAAGACGCCAGCCAAGUGGAGAAAGCGCUCGGCCACCCUGGGGCAGGCUCUCCGUGUGCUCAUUUGCAUAGCUUUGAUCCCUGGUCAAGUUGAUCAAAACCAGAUGACCAGGAAAAGAAGCAGAUGAGAGCAGAGACAGACAGCCAGCUCAAGGGCCCGGACCAGGCCAGCAAAAUCCCUGCUUCUCCUGCUCCUGUUUUAGGCUCCCCUGCUCCUACCCAAAGAAGUCCCGACGCAUGGAGGCUCAGCACUGCCACUCCACCAGCAACCUGCCAGGGGCCGGCUCUGCCACGUCUUGUCCAGAGAUUCCUUGUCGAGGGACACUGUUGCAGUUGUCCUCAUAACCAAUCUCUCCUCGUGUCCCCUUUCACAGACCUUAAGAUGCUACCUGCUGAGUUUGUCUGUAUCCUUCUCACACCAAAUGUGCCGUUUUUUUUCUUACCUACUUAAAGAAUCACCCUGUCAUGCUCUGUCCCUAAAUGCAACAACCCCAUGGUACAGUUAAAAAAAGAAAAUCAUAAGACUGAGUUACAGUCAAAGCACUAACUUGUGCGUGCUAAACAUCACCACCUGUGAGUCCCUGGUUCCAUUAAAGCCUUACAGGAUCCCUGCUAUAACAGGAAAGACCCACUAUAUCACACCCCUGAGUGGACAACUCGGUGAGGUUCUUCUUUUGUUUUUCUUUUUGGUACUGGAGAUGGAACUCAGGACCUUGCGCUUGCAAGGCAGCUGUGGUGCCAGAGCUAAAUCCCUGGCCUCCUUGGUGAGGUUCUUCUACUCUUCACCCCUGGUAUUCCUUUAACUUCGCCCAUCUAUCAGGAUGAUGUUACCCCACUCUUCUUACUAUCUUAAUACCAUUCUUUGGUUUUACAAUCUCACCAAACAUAUACCCGCAACUUCCAGAAUGUGUCUGCCCUGACAGGUGCCUCCUCCGCUCAGGGCAGUGAAGACAGAGGGCGCUGGACACAUAGCUGUCUAACUUCCCAGAAGGUGGGAGGACCACGCCCUCCUCCCACUGGGGUGCUUAACAAAUCCCCCCGUCGUUCUCCAGUUAAUGACCCCAGCGGCACCCCCUUAGGAUCCUCAUCCUUGUCUGAGCAGGGCCUAUUCUAUUAUAAAUUACUGCCUCCUUGGACGGCCCCUCCGUUUCUAAGAAUGACAGCCACACACAGCAGGCCCACACAGCCGAGGGACUCCAGACCCCUCUGGGGCUCCAGUGGGCUGAGAGUUGAAGGAACAAGUCUAUUAACAGUGCAGGAAAGGUCGGAUUGUGCACUCCCUCCAGGCUGUGCCAGUUCCCAUGAGGAUCCGACAUCCUUCCAAAUCUAGCCCAUCCUGAGCUAGGCGUGCUGGCACACGCCUGUAAACGCAGCACUCUGAGGCUGAGGCAGGA